UGGGUGAGAACGGGACGUGUAUUUGCAUCAUUAACAAAAAGGUACUAAAGCCGCAAGGCUUAGCCAGCAUUUGGUAUUUAAUUUGAUAUUGGUUGUUGUAGACCCAUUCUCCGCAACUUGUCUAGACCUGUGGUUUCAUGCAGGUGUAGAGGUUGGGUGAAUGGGUGAGAACAGUGAAAAGAGUGGGUGAGAACAGUGAAAAGAGUGGGUGAGAAGAGAAAAUUGUUGCAUUAUUAUCAAAAAGGUACAAUAGCCACAAGGCUUUAGAGGUGAGGGUGAGAAAAAAAUCGUAUAAAAGGAGAGAGAAAAGAGUUUAGAUAUCAGUCGAGUGAGCAUCUCCGACACGGUAACAACUGCAGCGCGCUGUCACCAACUGCCUUCUUCAUCGUAUUAACUAUCAAGUCAGUUCGGCAUCAUGUGAUGGUUAACUAUGGCGUUAUGCUGUUGGGUGUUAUCUCGCUGAAGGGUCGACCACGGGUGUACCGAUACAUCUCCUGGGUUUGGUGGAUACCAAGCAACAGCAGCGAAAGAAUCAGAAGAACAAUACAUCGCGUCGCCGUUUACUAGACAACAACGUCAACACACACAACAUCUAUUUACUACACCGUGGCCACCAAGUAUUACUUUUUCCCGAGUUACAUCACUAAAGAGCCUGAGUAUUACAAUACAAGCUACGCUGUUCCAACUUACUAUACUGAUAAUCCCAAUUACUAUUCUGCUCCCAGCUACUACACCGAGGAUCCAGCUU